GACGAACGCUGGCGGCGUGCCUAACACAUGCAAGUCGAACGAGAUCCAUGGGAGCUUGCUCCCGGAAGAUCUAGUGGCGAACGGGUGAGUAACACGUGAGAAACCUGCCCUGGAGUGGGGAAUAACUCGGGGAAACUCGAGCUAAUACCGCAUACCCUCGGAUGGUCGCAUGGUCCGACCGAGGAAAGAUUUAUCGCUCUAGGAGGGUCUCGCGGCCUAUCAGCUAGUUGGUGGGGUAACGGCCUACCAAGGCAACGACGGGUAGCUGGUUUGAGAGAAUGAUCAGCCACACUGGGACUGAGACACGGCCCAGACUCCUACGGGAGGCAGCAGUGGGGAAUCUUGCGCAAUGGGCGAAAGCCUGACGCAGCAACGCCGCGUGCGGGAUGACGGCCUUCGUGGUUGU
rnacentral:rRNA from 1 species